UUUGACAUAGGAGAUGGCAUUCUCCUUCAACCGCUCGCCCUCGAGCCGAUGAUGCCUACCCCGCG
rnacentral:ncRNA from 2 species